CAGACAAUAUUUUCAGAGAUCAUUUCAAUAGUUCAGUACUAGAGAAGUUUCUCUGAUCCUGUGAAGCAUCCAAAACCACAAGGAAAAGCCAGAGCAUUCUCUCUGUGUGUGAAGCCUGUUCUAGGAAUUGCUUUUGAAACUUGCCUUUUGUCACUGAUGAUCAUUCUUUUCUUCCUUUGGAAGAGUGUGAGUGAAAAAAUUUAGUUUGAGUGGU